UGAGGGCACGAAUGAAGCUGAAGGACUCAUUCCUUGCUUCUCAUAGUCAACAGAGGAAGAGCUCAGGUUGGCUUGAAAGCAGGAAGAGAUUGCCUGUCUUCCAGCCAAAUCCAGCCUCCAAAAUGAUCCAAGUUCUCUUGGUAACCAUAUGCUUAGCAGUUUUUCCUUAUCAAGGGAGCUCUAUAAUCCUGGGAUCUGGGAACGUGAAUGAUUAUGAAGUAGUGUAUCCACGAAAAGUCACUGCAGUGCCCAAAGGAGCAGUUCAGCCAAA